rnacentral:rRNA from 1 species
CCGGCGCACGGGUGAGUAACACGUAUCCAACCUGCCGUCUACUCUUGGCCAGCCUUCUGAAAGGAAGAUUAAUCCAGGAUGGCAUCAUGAGUUCACAUGUCCGCAUGAUUAAAGGUAUUUUCCGGUAGACGAUGGGGAUGCGUUCCAUUAGAUAGUAGGCGGGGUAACGGCCCACCCAGUCAACGAUGGAUAGGGGUUCUGGGAGGAAGGUCCCCCACAUUGGAACUGAGACACGGUCCAA